CCGGAUUGUUCUGUCCAAUGAACCACUAUACAGUUUAUCACAUGAAGAUGACACGUAAAGGCAUGUAACCGCCUUUGAGUGUUCACGAGUUUCAUGAAUUAACCGAGGAUUUCUUUUUCCAGUUUCCCAUACCUUGAUGGUUCCAUCGGAAUGACUACUAAUUAACCGACCUCUUACGUGGAGCAGACAAAGAACUUCUCCAUUCAUUGAAACAUCCAUCUCAGGACAUUCAGUAUAACACCAUAGUUCUGCAGCAUCAAUGCAUGGCAAGUUCAUCAAGGUUUUCAUUAUAUCACUGACUACUGUUGAGUGCUUUUUAAGUUUCCUCAAGUUUCUGCAUAAACAUUUCGCGUAUAUUCCCAGUUCGCUAAGUGCACCUAAAUCAGUAAUAAAGCCUCUCAAAGCAAGAGCUGCCAAGAUCUUUUCCUCGAGGUUCUUCGUUGACUGCAGCAUCUGUAUAAACUGCUCAAGCAACGACUUACGAGCAAUAUCUCUAAUUCCAGUAUCGGGAAAACUAUAGAGCAUGUGAAUAAGCCAUGUUGCUAGUAUAAAUGAAGAUUUUGCUAUCUCCAUGGAUGUGCUUGUAAGGCAUUCCUCUAAAGCUUUGAAUAUUAAUCCUUUCUCAUGAUUGCAAAGAACAAAAGCCAUUCUAUUUUCCCAAGAACUCAGUGCUUUUUCUUCCUCUUCCGUUGUAUUUGUGAUGUCAUUUUCACCUGCUCUUUGUUUCUCUUCUUUUAUCGUAGCAUUAUACCGCUGAUUAAAUCCUGCAGUCUUGAGUAGACGGGCUUCAAGAAAGGACUUACCAGAGUUAGACAGAUGCCCGGAAAGAGAUAACAGGGCAUCGAGAGCCCUGAGCUGAGAUGCAGGAAAGUCCUUUUCGUGAAGUGCUUCAAUCAAUGCGUCUAUUGACUCUUCACGGUAUAUGCUCAUUUUCCGUGGUUCAACCAGAAGG
rnacentral:misc_RNA from 1 species